rnacentral:rRNA from 1 species
GUGCCAGCCGCCGCGGUAACACCCGCAGCUCGAGUGGUGAUCACUUUUAUUGAGUCUAAAGCGUUCGUAACCGGUCUUAUAAAUCUUCAGAUAAAUUCUUCCGCUUAACGGAAGAACUUCUGAAGAGACUGUAAGACUUGGGACCGGGUGAGGUUGAAUGUACUUUCAGGGUAGGGGUAAAAUCCUGUAAUCCUGAAAGGACGACGGUGGCGAAAGCGUUCAACUAGAACGGAUCCGACGGUGAGGGACGAAGGCUAGGGGAGCAAACCGGAUUAGAUACCCGGGUAGUCCUAGCUGUAAACGCUGCCCACUUGGUGUUGCUUCUCCGUUGAGGGGGGGCAGUGCCGUAGCGAAGGUGUUAAGUGGGUCACUUGGGGAGUACGGCCGCAAGGCUGAAACUUAAAGGAAUUGCGGGGGAGCACCGCAACGGGAGGAGCGUGCGGUUUAAUUGGAUUCAACGCCGGAAAACUCACCGGGAGCGACCUUCGGAUGAGGGUCAACCUGACGAAUUUACCCGAUAGAAGGAGAGGUGGUGCAUGGCCGUCGUCAGCUCGUACCGUAGGGCGUUCACUUAAGUGUGAUAACGAGCAAGACCCCCAUCUCUAAUUGCCAGACUGUCUUAGCGGGCAGAGGCACUUUAGAGGGACCGCCAGCGCUAAGCUGGAGGAAGGAGGGGUCGACGGCAGGUCAGUACGCCCCGAAUCUCCCGGGCUACACGCGCGCUACAAAGGACGGGACAAUGAGCUGCAACCUCGAAAGGGGAAGCUAACCUCGAAACCCGUUCGUAGUCAGGACUGAGGGCUGUAACUCGCCCUCACGAAUGUGGAUUCCGUAGUAAUCGUAGGUCAACAGCCUACGGUGAAUAUGCCCCUGCUCCUUGCACACACCGCCCGUC